CCCCGCGGCCGCCGCGCUCCGGCCCCGCUGCCGGGAGCUCCCGCUGCGGGAGGAAGGAGAGGCAUCCGAGGAGACGAGGGGAACAAAAGGACGAGAUCUGAAACAGGAAUAAAAGAAGGAAAUGUAGCGAGCACUAAAAACAAGAGGAGGAAUUUUCCCCGUGGGGAAGAGAGAGGGAAGCGCCACUUACAUGAGUUUGAUAGGAAGUCAGUGCUUGCUUCAGGGUUUGCAGUCUCUUCAAACCUGAAUUAUGAAGGCUACCAUAAAAAUAUGGAUAAAAUACUACCUCCCCAAAGUGCCAUGUGUUAUGGCCUGCACCCCAGUGUGGAGAUUGCUUUUGUAAUACCUGCAGACAACAUGUGCUAUUAGAGCUGCAAUUCAAAUACUCAGUCACUAAGCAGUGACCGGGGAAGGAGUCUCCUAAGCUGUGGAAGACAAGUUGUGGGUGCAAGACACAGUUGCCUCAUGCAACAUGGUAUCUCUUGAGGAUGAAGGCAGAACUAGAUGAUAUAAAGAAAAAAUCUUUCAGAAGAAAGGAAGAUCAAAUAUUUUACUCAAACGCCGGCAGAAUGAUACUCACAUAAACUGAUUUGUUUUCCAGAAUAUGAAAGACUGGAUCCACUCAGAGAUGAGCAUUAAACAGCUCAGGACACUGCAGUCCUCUCUCUGCAUAAAAGGAAGCAAAAUGCAAGGUCUCAUUAUGGUCUGAUUCCUGUUUCAGUGCAGACAUGGAAGAAAGGCUAUCCAUAGGAGAGAAGGGAAGCAGCUGUUGGAUGCUUCAAGAAACCUGAUGCCAAAAACGAUCACUACUUUGUUCAUGUAGUGUUCAAAUGAACACUACUUUGUUUCCCUUCUGGAAAAGGCACAUGGUUCAGAUUGUGUUAAAUGAUCAACAUCUUCAAAGCCAUCAGAAUGUUGCAUGUGGCCAUCACUGGGAGAUGGCCAUUAACUGCAGGUGAAGGUGCAGCAUCAGCAGCACCCAAGUCCUGGUCUCACUCUGCAUUGGAGUGAGUUGGCAAUCUCCUCAGAGAUGGAGCAACUACAGACAGCUCUUUUUUUUUUUUUCUGAUAAUCUUCCUGACACUUGGAUGAGACUGGCUUAUCCAUCAACAUACAGUUACUCAGUGGCAGCCUCCUGAGUGAGGCAAAGAGCUGCUGGCUGAUGGAGCUAACCAGGACUCCAGAGCUGACCAAAGGACAGGAAAGCUCUGCCAAGCACAAAGACAGGUAGCGCUAGAAGGCAAAGCAAGCCCACACUUCUGAGAUCAGUUCAGACUUCUGAGAGAUCAAAAGUGGAAGAAGAAAUCUUGUUCAGCAGAGGAGACAUUGAGAAAAGCACCAGAGGCCACAGGAAUUCAACAGAUAGGGAAAUAAAGUGUGGAGGAAAGAGAAGGAUUGAAAACUUGUGUUGGGUCUUCCAGCUUUCUGGAAAUCUGCAAAAGACCAACAGUGGGACACCUUAACAGAGGCAAAAAAUGUUUGGGUUCUGGGCUGUGACUGCAUUGUCAGGCAACGGCUGGAGCAGGCUGAGGUGAGAGCAGCAGUGAAUGAGGAUUUGAAAGGAAACACCACAUGUAGAGGGGAUGAUGUGAAGGGGCAUAUAAGGAGCAGAGGAUGGUGGGGAAGGAGGGCACGAAGGCACAAAAUACAGGAGCUGCCAGAAGAGGGGAUGUUCAUUCCUUCUUUGGAAGAUAUUCAUGAUACACAGAUACAGGCUUAGAAACUAUUCCAUGAAAACUCAGGGUUGUGGCACUGACUCCCUCACAGGCUAGAAAAAUACAGGCUUGAAAGGAAAAGGCCUUCAGGGUAGGAGGGUUUGUUAUUUAGGGUUUUAAACUGACAGAAUCUGCUGCUGACUUGUAAGGUGGGGAGGUAUUAACUCCUGAGAAGGAGGAACAAAAGGCAAGGAUUGCGAUCCUGCGAGAAAAGACAAGGAGCAUUGCAAGGAGAGGUGGGCUGGUCCAGAGGGGGGGUUAAGGAUAUUCAUCGAGUGCUUUGAGAUGAAACAUGCUGUGUGUUCGCAAAGGUGUCUGUCAGUCAAGUGGGGGAGCAACAUUAUGACAACCUCUCUUCCAGGAGCAGCAAAGACCAAGAUUUUAUUCCCUGCAAAGCCAGCCAAGAAAUUACUGAAAUGGCUGUUUUAACAGUCAAAGCUAGCAGGGAGAGAACAAAAGAACUCCAGAUGCACGUACACACACAUCCAUCCAUCUAUCCAUGUCCUCCUUUGGCCUCCGAUGAGCCAACUUCCACUUAAAGAAAGUCUCUUACAUUGGUGAGAAAAUAGGCAGCAAAUUAUUUUGCUGCUGUAAAACAAAACUAUCUCCAUUUCAGGGAGGGGUGAAAAAUGGGUGUAGCUUGCAUGAAAAUUUCUGAGAGUACUGUUAAGUCUAAUGCACAUGGAAUGACAGAAAAGAGGUUAGAUUUCUUUCGAAGGAGCCACUCUUGUUUCAUGAAUACCAACUUGCUGUCUUACUGGCUUACCUCUCAAAGAAUGGCUGUUGCCUUGGCUCCAUGAGACAGACAGGCUCAGGUUCCAGAGGGGCUGUUCUCAAAGCCCACAAACACACAAUAUUGCUUCACUUGCUGUUUUUCACUUGUCAGUAUUUAAUUAACAAAUACAAAUGCAGAACUGUGCUGAAAUAAAGAAAAAGAUAGUUCGCUUUGGAAAAAACUUUUAAUAUGAGGAAGUUGCUUGUUAAACAGAGAGAAAUUUGUUGUUCAGCUGCACUCAAAACACAAGAAAAGGGAAAAAAACAUUAAUGUGUGCCAGGGCAAAAGAACCACUGAUUUGGCAAGAAACAGAAACAUUUGCAAGCUUCUGAGUUAGUAUUUGAACAAUGGGGAAGAAAAUGAACUAGAAAAACUGCCUGAUGGGCUGCUGAGAAGAAUCUUCCUCCCCCUGCUACACACACUGAUUUUUGUGUUUUCUUACAUUCAGAUAAGAUGGACUGAUGGUAAUAAUAUCUGACACAGGAGUUAUAAAAAAACUGUGGAAUCAAGAACAGAAUUUUCAGCAGCCUGCACUCCUUGAAUUCAAUGGCAACCAAAUGAGCAACAAAAGUAUAAUCAAAUACCACUAUUUCUUUCAGAAGAUACUGAAAACUCUGUAAGCUUUUUCACACAGUUACUAUCCCAGUAUAGGCUGACACAAAAUAAAAACCAAAACACCAAAACCAAACCAAGCCCUUAAUUCUUGGUUGAAGAUCAAGGUGAGAAGAAGGCUUAAGUCUGGCUGUCAAACAUCUGAAGAAACAGGUUUUCCAGUGUUUGCUUUGGUCAUUUUCCCUAUGGUGGAUAACUUCAAUAAAUUACCCUUAAUCCUUCAUCAGAUGUCUGCCCUUCUUCAGUUUUAUCCCAAGUUCCUAGUCAGCAACUUCUCAAACUGCCCUUCACAUUUUGCAGUUAUCUUCAUGUAUUGCAGGUGAAGGAGCUGGAAGAGAACCCCUGUAUUCAUCUGAAUCCUUAACGAACAGCAUGUCCAUCCCGACAUAUUGCCGGCACAAUUAGAUCACAGGGAGUGCAGACUGGGAUGGUUCAGUGAACACUUGAAGGCAGAGGCAAAUACAGGAAGGACAGCAAAUGCUGUAGUCCUAGUUACAGCAAUUUGGCACACAACAGGAUCAGACCACAAGGGAAAGCCUGGAGAGGAUUUCUGUGCUUUAAAAAGAGAAACAGGGGAAGACUGAAUUUCCUAAGGUCACUGAGGAAAUGCUAGGAAAAGAACUCAGCACUCGAGCAGCAGAGAUACCAUCUUCACAGCCAAAACCAGAUGGUUUUUCUCUGCAGUGUGACAUAACAGCACAGUUUAACCAUUCUGGUGCACUGAACAACUUCUGUGCUGCUGUGAGCUUGACUCCUAGCCUCAAGAUCUCACCCUCCCUAGUGUUGUCUGGAUAUCAAUUCUUUCAACCCCCAGUCCUUCCUCACAGCAAUUGCAGACUUUAGCACGUGAAACUGUAACAAAGCAGUGAACUGCUAACAAAAGGCAUGCAUCAGAGGAGCUCAGGACCAGGAGGAAACCCUUUGCAUUUUUGUCAUGUAAGAAUGUUUUCUGCACAUCCAGCGAUACUGUACCAUAUUAGAUAGAUCUAAUUCCCUAGCUAAAGCACUACUUAAAUAAUUUUGAAGUAAAUUUAUCUACUUCAGUAAAUAGCACUGCUAGUCUGUGCUAUCAGAUUUUCUACUUAAACAAGAUUUCAUUUAGGGCAAAAGUAAAAGGGGAGUGGGUAAACAUAGCAUCACUGGUGCAAUUCACGUACCUGAAAGGAUUUUUUCCUAUUUAAUGGACACUUUUGAGUUGCAUCUUCUCCCUUGAUUGUGUAGUCUAAGGAAACCUGGGAAGUCUUGAGAUUGUUAGCUCAGUCUCCACACUGGGCCGUUGUCUCCACCAGAUUCCCUGGGCUGAGCACAGUGCAGUUACCAAGCUGUAAGUGUGUGUCACCAGAACAGCCUCUCUGGCUCUCACCAGCACAGACAUUACCUCCAAGUAAACCACAGGCAAAUAACUCUACACAGGACCUCAGGACUCAGAUCCACCUUAGCUGCUGCUUCACUUAACAACAUUUCUACUUCAGGACACUUGGCAGUUGCUCUCAUAAAGCUCCUUACACCCAGGUUUCUCUUGUGACGCAUGUGAAAGAACCUUAUUCUCACCAACAAUGGUUGAAAAAUACCUGUGCUUCCAGAUAGGCUGUCAAACACAGCAUAACCUCCCUCAUCUCACCAGUGGUGGGAGCUGGCAGGAGCUGCUGCAUGAUCUUUGCAAUGAAGAGCAACUACAAGACAGAUUCUCUCCCCACUGUUUAUUUUUGGUGCUCCAUGUCCCAAAACCACACUAAUCACAGCAUUGCAGAGCUCAGUACAACUACAGGUAAAAGCACGAGCAACAGUACCCUGGUCUGACACCUCCUCUUCUGGCUGCAGCAACUGUUUUCUGAAGGGAAAGGUCAGCAUGGUUUAGGUUUGUAAGUAGUUUGCCAUUUACAAAAUCCACAUCUUCUUGCAUAUUAUAUAGCAAGCUGUAACUCACUGGGAGGUGCAAGGGAGCUCCAGCAAGGCCAGCUGUUACACUAGGUAUCAGGGAACUCUAAGUUAUGGCAGGAAAAACAUUUCCUUGUGGAACCCAAUAUGUAAAAAGUAUAAUGUGGUGUCUGUACAGGGGAAAACAGAAGCUACAUUUCAGCAGUCAGGCUUAAUUAGCAAGUUAGUUAAGUGUAACAUCACCCAAACUGUUAAUCUCAUUCAUAACUUUUCUUCAGAACUGGAAAGAAAAAAUAGAAAUCAAAAACUAGACGUGAGAUUUUAGAAACUAGAAAAACAGAUGGGAAUAAAACCAAUGGUACCUAAGAGACUACAAUACUCUCAACUCCCAUGCAUCAGCUAUAAAGUAAAAUAUACUUACUAGUGAGUAUGUCAAAGAAAUAGUGCUUAAUAUACUUACUACAGGGUAUGACAAAGAAAUAAACUAACAGUGUUAGCAAGGAGAAAGGGUGUGUGUCUUCAGCCUGUGCUUAGUAGAAAGUACACAGAAAAAAAAAGCAAAAUUCCUUGCUGUAGGUAAGUCUGCAUGUCUUGCUGAAAAUUAAUUGUACUCACAUUAACAACAUUCAAGUGUUAAUUUUUUUUCCAAAGCAGGCUUUAGCUAUAUUAAUGAAUGGAGUUUUGGUCUUGCAACUACAGGAAAGUGAUUUGUUUGAGAUCAUACCAGGAGGUUUUCACAGAACACUGUAUCUGUAUUCUGUAAUGGGCACAUAGAUAUCCUAUACACAGGUAUAUUUUUAUUUACUGGAGGUGCUUUUCAGAGCUUUGUAAUACCAAUGCUGUUUUCUAGCCACACCAACCAUUUAAAAACUAGAAGUUACUUCUCCCGGGAAAAAAACUAGGAUUACAUCAAAGCAUUUCAGUUCCUCACAACAGCACAACAGAACUCUGUGCUUGGUUUCCAAUACUAAAAUUGUAACAUCACAACUUUUUUAUAAGAAUUAAAUGGAAAGAGAAAUAAAGGGGGAAGAAAAAGCUUUAGAGUGUUAACUCUCCACGGCAGGAGGAAGCCAGCAUGGGCAUUGAGCUCAGCACACUCAUUCCCUUCUCCCUGCUGAAAGGGACACAAAA